CCCAAACCGACACAGGUGAUCAGGUAGAGAAUACCAAGGCGCUUGAGAGAACUCGGGUAAAGGAACUAGGCAAAAUGGUGCCGUAACUUCGGGAGAAGGCACGCUGGUGGUAGGUGAGACCCCUUGCGGGUGGAGCUGACGCCAGUCGAAGAUACCAGGCCCCUGCGACUGUUUAUUAAAAACACAGCACUGUGCAAACACGAAAGUGGACGUAUACGGUGUGACGCCUGCCCGGUGCCGGAAGGUUAAUUGAUGGGGUUAGCGCUUGCGCGAAGCUCUUGAUCGAAGCCCCGGUAAACGGCGGCCGUAACAAUAACGGUCCUAAGGUAGCGAAAUUCCUUGUCGGGUAAGUUCCGACCUGCACGAAUGGCGUAACGACUUCCCCGCUGUCUCCAACAUAGACUCAGCGAAAUUGAAUUGCCUGUCAAGAUGCAGGCUACCCGCGGUUAGACGGAAAGACCCCGUGCACCUUUACUACAGCUUCACACUGGCAUUAGGCCGAACAUGUGCAGGAUAGGUGGUGGGCUUUGAAACCGGAACGCCAGUUUCGGUGGAGCCUCCCUUGAGAUACCACCCUUGCUUUGCUUGAUGUCUAACCGCGGUCCGUUAUCCGGAUCCGGGACCCUGUGUGGUGGGUAGUUUGACUGGGGCGGUCUCCUCCCAAAGCGUAACGGAGGAGCACAAAGGUGGGCUAAGCAUGGUCGGACAUCAUGCGGUUAGUGUAAUGGCACAAGCCCGCUUAACUGCGAGACAGACACGUCGAGCAGGUACGAAAGUAGGUCAUAGUGAUCCGGUGGUUCUGUAUGGAAGGGCCAUCGCUCAACGGAUAAAAGGUACGCCGGGGAUAACAGGCUGAUACUGCCCAAGAGUCCAUAUCGACGGCA
rnacentral:rRNA from 1 species